AGAAUGUACAACUAUUGUUACUAGUUAUUAUAACUCAAUACUAAUAUUGUUUAAUUCCAUCGAUCCCUCCCUCACCCUUCCCUCCCCUCGCCAAAAAAAGGAAGUGAUUUUCGAGACUUAUAUUUUUUUUUACGAUUACCCGGGCUCACGCGGGAAUGGUGGAGAGCGAAGAUGAGCGUAUGGUAAUGGUUGAAUAGCCCGAAUACGAUACAUGCAUAUUUUGUACGAACACAGAACCGAAAAAUAUAUUACGUUCAAACGAGACUACCUAUAAUGAUUAUUGAU